rnacentral:rRNA from 1 species
AUGCCAAAAGUCAAGUCCUUCAGCCAGACAGCCUUUUACCGGGAGAUGCGAGCGGCAUGGAAUACAGCCCAGCCGGUUAGGUUUCGGCCGGUUGGACCGAACCUGUUCGUCAUUCAAGCCUCUUGUCUGGGAGAUUGGGAGCGUAUGCUUGAUCAAGGACCAUGGCUGUUCAGGAAUAUGCUUGUGUUAAUGUGUCCAUAUGAUGGAUUCACCAAGGCCGAGGAGGUUCCAAUGGUUUUCAUGCCAAUCUGGCUACAAAUCCACAAACUUCCUGAAGGGUUUUGUAAGGAAAAGAUUGUGCAACAUCUACUGCGGAAUUCGGGUAAGAUUUUGGAGAUGAGGCUCAAUGGAAACACUAGAGGAGAUUAUGUCAGAAUUCGCAUACGCCAUGAUGUUAGCCAGCCACUGACAAAAUUUGUCAGCGUUGUUCGAGGCGCGGAGAGGCAGGUGUUUUUGGUUCGUUAUGAGAAGUUGGCCCGCUUUUGCAGCGUUUGUGGCUUAAUUGGACAUGAGUACAAAGAAUGUGGCAAUGGUAUUCAUGAGGAAAAGGACAAGAAGUACGGGGCGUGGCUAUACGCUGAUGGCCCCAAUAGACAGCGUCAGGAGGAAAUGCCUGCGCGAGGAGGCACACGGCAAUAUGAGGCUACACCCCAGCAGGUGAAUAAGGCAGGGAAGGGGAUGGUUGACCCUGAAAUUUUAGAUACAGCUACCAGCCCAUCAAAAACUGGCCACACCUCCAUGCAGGUGGAUCCGUCGGCCAGGAAGAGAUUAGCCUUGGAUGUGGUGAGUGCUGAUGCGGCGCAUGGCGCCCAGAACCAAAGGAUGAUGUUCUUGCGUUGA